UACAGAGGGUGCGAGCGUUAAUCGGAAUUACUGGGCGUAAAGCGCACGUAGGCGGCUUGGUAUGUCGGGUGUGAAAUCCCCGGGCUCAACCUGGGAACUGCAUCCGAAACUGCCUUGCUCGAGUAUGGGAGAGGGAAGUGGAAUUUCCGGUGUAGCGGUGAAAUGCGUAGAUAUCGGGAAGAAUACCGGUGGCGAAGGCGUUCUGCUGGGCCGUUGCUGACGCUGAGGCGCGACAGCGUGGGGAGCAAACAGG
rnacentral:rRNA from 1 species